rnacentral:rRNA from 1 species
UACGUAGGGCGCAAGCGUUGUCCGGAAUUACUGGGCGUAAAGGGUGCGUAGGUGGUCGUUUAAGUCCGUUGUGAAAUCCCUGGGCUCAACCUGGGAAUGGCAGUGGAUACUGGACGGCUAGAAUGCGGUAGAGGGUAGUGGAAUUCCCGGUGUAGCAGUGAAAUGCGUAGAGAUCGGGAGGAACACCAGUGGCGAAGGCGGCUACCUGGACCAGCAUUGACACUCAAGCACGAAAGCGUGGGGAGCAAACAGG